GAUGAACGCUGGCGGCGUGCCUAAUACAUGCAAGUCGAGCGAACAGAUGAGGAGCUUGCUCCUCUGACGUUAGCGGCGGACGGGUGAGUAACACGUGGAUAACCUACCUAUAAGACUGGGAUAACUUCGGGAAACCGGAGCUAAUACCGGAUAAUAUAUUGAACCGCAUGGUUCAAUAGUGAAAGACGGUUUUGCUGUCACUUAUCGAUGGAUCCGCGCCGCAUUAGCUAGUUGGUAAGGUAACGGCUUACCAAGGCAACGAUGCGUAGCCGACCUGAGAGGGUGAUCGGCCACACUGGAACUGAGACACGGUCCAGACUCCUAAGGGAGGCAGCAGUAGGGAAUCUUCCGCAAUAGGCGAAAGCCUGACGGAGCAACGCCGCGUGAGUGAUGAAGGUCUUCGGAUCGUAAAACUCUGUUAUUAGGGAAGAACAAAUGUGUAAGUAACUAUGCACGUCUUGACGGUACCUAAUCAGAAAGCCACGGCUAACUACGUG
rnacentral:rRNA from 1 species